rnacentral:lncRNA from 1 species
CCCCCGCAGGCCCUCAGAGGGGCUUCAGCAGCACCGGUCCAGCCUAAGGCUAUCCAUAGAGCUGGCCAAGUUCCCGGCGUGGUCACGGAUGCGCUGCGAGGCUCUCUCCUUCCUCCUCUUCUCUGCCUCUUCCUUCUUCCUGGCUAAUCGAGGCUACUGCUGCUGCAGUGUGGAAAGGGUGUCCUUUCGUGCUCAUGCAAAAGUCCCUGUUCUCCUCCAAAAGUAUCUCCGGGGCCCUGGGUUUCCAAAUCUCAGUUUCCGAGGAGGCGACAAAGCAGUAGCAGCAGCUGGCGAACGAAUUUUACCAGGUUGCCCCUGACUCAGAUGGGGCAAGCAGGGAAGGCAGUUCCUCUCUCCCGCUCUUCUCCACUGCUCGGCGGAUCACUUCCUAGAGUUGGAUCCUGUAGGGCCCGCAGCGCAGCCCUGAGGGAAGCAGGCACAGAGACUAUGGGGAGAGGAGUCUUGCUGGACUGGCCGAGUCUCAGAGGCCACGGGAAGGGGAAUCUACCAGUCACAGUGAAAACACCUCCAUACGAUUCUCCCCUCCCCCUCUCUUCUUCCCUCUUCCCUCCCCCCAACUACCCCCCCCCCCCCCGGUUUUGAUUCUUGGGUCUUUUUUUUUCCCCCUUUAAUGCUUUGAGGGGUUGGGGAUUUGUUUGUUUCUGCCUGUCCUUGAAUGUGAUUUUUGCCGCUAAGAACUCGUUCGCGUUCCCGUUCCUCUUCUCUCUUCUUGGAUCCUUUGACGUUCAGAGCGAUAUCAGCGCAUCCAUUUUUCCUGGCCGCUUUCUUGCGUCCUCUGGGGCUCGGAAGGCGCCGGGGCCGCAACCGCUUUUCAGGGAGGCAGACCGCUUGGUUCUGCUGAUUGGGCCUGGCUUGCCUGAAUCGGGGAUAAGCUCGCGAUCCGUAGAGGUAGAGGCGGCGGCGGCAGCAGCGAAAGUUCUGGUGGCGACUUUCUUGGGCUGGUGGCGGUGCCGGGAACAAGCCGAUUUCCCCAGCAAGAACUCCAUGUACAGCUACAUCUUUAGGGCAGCUCGGGUUAAUAUAUGUCGUCAGAGGCUGUCCACGCCAAUAGCGGCGAGGCAGGGGCGGUGCCUUGGGCUCUCCGCAAUAAAACUUUUUGAUGUUCACGUUGCUAAUUGCUGAAGUCCUCUUUUAGGAUUGGCUAUCCUUUCAUAUCCAUAAGAUAAUUAAAACGAAGGGGAUUUUUUUAACUUUUUUUUUUAAUCAGCCAGUGGUUAAUGCAACAGUUUAGCAGAUGCUUUACUAUUUUAAAAAAAAAAAAUAUCCUCUAAAAUAACCGGAUCUUCUCAAGCCAGGGGACACCAAGAAGACCCGCAAAUGGGUUUGCUCCGGCUUGCGGAAUGUUUAAAAACUCGGCACUUCGUUCCCCUCGAAUCAGUGGUGUGGCCAAUAUCGGUUUUCUGCCAGUUUAACUAGCCUGUUUGUGAAGCAUUCCUUGAUAACGUUAUUGUCCCAGUAUCUACCUUCUACUACUCAAACCUUGGUCACCAGAAAUCUGGAGGAAGGCUGGCCAUCUUGGAUGCCUCUGAAUCAGGGAAAAUAAGGCUUGUGGUGACCAGAGAGAACGUGUCUACACUGACUUUAGCAAGGGGUGAGCCAUCUAAUCUUCUCUACACUUCUGUGGGACUAUAACGCAUGAAAAAGUAUUGAAGUGAACUGACCUUUUUGUUACUUAGACCUUUCAAGGGCUUGUCCACUCUGGUUGAAGCACAACACCAGCAAGGGCAACAUUUACCUCCUGUCAGGAGGAAACCACUCGAAGUUUGAUUGAGGAAGUAGUUGUGAUUUUGCAAACACACCGUUUAUCUGUCGAAAGUAGCGGAUUUCAAUUAGAUUGCGGCGAAGACUCCAUGACAAUAUUCAUUUACAAGAGAAGUGCACCUUAAAGGAAGGAGCUUUGCAGUAAUCUGAAUAACGGAGUCAACUUGCUUCUGAAUACCGAAUUUAAGGUCGCAUUUACAUUUCUAACUCCCAGCAUUGCCUGCCAUCCUGGGGAAUAGUGUUUUGCAGCCUUCUUUGUAACUCCACGUGGAUGGGAUUUCUACAGGAUGGUUUUUUUCCCCCCAAACAUUUUUUUCCCCUUGCAAGUUAUAGGGGACUUCUUGUACAGAAAAACGACUUUAGACAGGGUUGUUAGGUUUCAAGUUAACAAAAAGAAACACUUUUAUUGUCAAUAUUAAUGGAAAAACUCGAUUUUUUACGAGGUUUGGGUUUAGCAGCGUGCAUAGAUCAAAAGCAGCCUGGUUUGAUUUUCAAAUAUUCUCUGGAGCUUAGACAAUUACCUGUAAUUUUGCUUCCAACGACACAACACAAAAAUGUUAGUUAUGUAAAUGUUACUGCCAUGGGGGGUGGGGGUGUGUGAGAAUGGAGCAGGCAGAACUCUCUACCUGUUUCUGCAACGUCAGAUUCUAAUAAAUUUUUUCCAUAGAACCUGAGUUCAGUUUUUUAAGGCAUCCUUCUAAUAUAGAUAAUCUUGUGAUCGGUUUAUUGACAAUUGCACCCUACUCCUUACUCUGUAGCUGUAUACAUCCCACUAUCAGCACAUAUAUCCAAAGGUAAUGAAUCUGGCUGAGUGAGGUCUUUUUUGGUAAUUUGGAUACACCAAGUCUCCAGUUAAUGACAUAUAAUCAGCCUUUGGGUCAUUUGGUCAUUCUCUUAUUACAAACCCCUCCUGCUCUCUCUGAUCUCCUUUCAAACUAAAUUUCACACAAACAAAUAAAGCAAGACAGGGACAAGUCCUUUAAAAAAGGGAGAAUAUUAGAAACGCCUGAUACACAACUCCAAACACGGAAAGGAAAACUCAAAGAGAAUAGGAAAGAACAUCUUAUCAAAAAGAGCAUGUUGUGUACAAAACAUUAAAAGAAAAUGCUCUGGUUUAUGUUAAAGUGACAGAAAAUUAAAAUAAAAAUAAUUGCAAACAGAAAAGUCAUAAUAUAAACAGAGAAGGCAGAAUGCUGGCUAGAAAUGCGUGAGGAGGAUAAUUUGUUGUUUUAGAUUAUGUAUCUGAAAUGUGAUUGGUGAGGCGUUGCUUUGUUCCAUUUUCCAAAGAGUGAGAGAGGGAAAAAAAAGAGAUGGCUUUCUCUUUAGUGCGUGUGUGAGCCCGCACAAGUUAACACAGGCCAAGACCCCAAGGAAAGAAAAAGUGACCCAGCUGUUCCUGCAUUACAAAGCCUUCGUCUCUCCCUCCCUGCGCCCCCCCCCCCCCCAGCGAAAGAAUUAGUUAUAUAAAAAUGCAUAAUUCUUUGGAGGAGUACACCAACUCAAUCUCAGAUUUUUCUGCUUGAAGUUCCUAAGAUUAUAUUAUCCUGGAGAUCUUAAGUUUGAUCCUGUCUGAGGCCAUCACUUACCUAAGGUCCCCACUUUUCUUUCUAUGAAGUUCCUAACUCUAGAAAUAGUGUAUUUCAAGCUGUCUAGUACACAUUUAGAAAAGAAGACCAUUGACUUUUGCCACCAUCUUAUCCUAGUAACUAUGCGACCAGUAUUUGGUCUAGCUGAAAACAAUUCUACAUUCAAAAACUCCAAAGAUAAGUUAACUGUCCUCAAUUCCUCUCUAAAUCCUGUCUCAUUUCCUUGGAUCCUCUUCUCACCUUUAGACAGCUGUUGCCCCAUAUACAAACUUCUGAAAAGUACAGUGGAGCUGAGAAGAUAGCUUGAGAAGCAACUGGAUAAAUCUCCCCAAACAAGAUGGAAAAGUCUUGAAUGAGACCAUUUGAGUAUAACCCCAUGUAUAGGCGUGUAACCCUUUUUGGUCCAUGGGCAAGUUAAGCAGCCCUAUGAUUUUAGCUGACUCAUGAAUGCAGUUUAGCCUACAUUUAAAAGUUUGGCCAAAAUAUUCUUAGCUUCCAGAGCCGACUUAUUAAAAUAUUUAAGCCCUCUGUUUAUAAACACUGAUCACUUGGGACUAUGCAUUAAAAUCACCUCCUUCUUGUUGGAUCCACUGAAAAAAUGGGUGUUGGACCUGACUAGGUUUUACUGCCAUUUCUUUUUUGGGACCACUGAGUCCAGCUGACUUUCCUUUUUUAAUUUCAUGAGCCGGAAUGAACCAGAAUUCCCGCCUUUAAUUUCUACCAUCCUCAAUUCUUUCUUUCUCCAUAUUCACAAGAGAAAUGCUAGAUGAAUUGACAGGCAGAUUUAGGAGGGAAUAAGAAAGGUAGAGAAAGAGAGGCAUAGAGAAGCAGAGACAGAGACAAACAAUUUGAGGAGGGAGAUACAAGUAGGCAAAGAAAGGAAAAAGUAAGACAAGAACCACAUGGGGAAGGGAAAACGACAGAGAAGUAGAGAAGGUCUGAGACUUAGAAUCGCACGCAUCUUUUUUGGGGGGCGGGAGCGGGGGAAGACUUUCAACUCUCACCAGCAAAGCACACCCAGAGCUUUUUCCAGAGGAGUCAGUGUUGAGUACCCUCAUGUUAGAUCUCCUGCCCUAACCGUUACCCUGUUUUGCCCUAGCCAUUUGGGCAUACAAGACUAGGCUCGAUGGUCUUUUGAUUUCUCUCUCUGCCGGGCCAAAAAAGAGAAAAGGACAAUGACAAAGAUAGAGGGGUUUAGUCUCCAGAUUAGAUUUGCAACCAUUUGGUUGGUAUAUCUAUUAUAGAGCAUUUGAUUAAAGUGCUUAAGACAUCUUUAGUCCCUCCUGAUUUGAUUGCAGUCCAUUUUCACCCUGCCCCCACCGGCCCUGAAAAAAAUUUGAUGGUACAUCGACCCAUCAGUCUCAAGUCCUGACUUCACCAGUUAGUUGUAUGAGGAAGAGGGAUGAGGUGGCCCUCAGAACAUCCUUAGCUGCCGAGAGAACUUGCCAAGGAAGGAAGAAUUCAGUAUACAAAUAAAUCCACACACUGUCGCUCGGAUUUAGACCUGCGGAUUCCCCGCCAAUCCCAUAUCAUUUAGGUUUUGGGACCCUUUUUUGUCCUGAUGAAAUUCUCAUUUUUGCCACGGAGGAGCCCCUUUUUCUUUCUACCAGGCCCGCGGGGGGUGGGGAGGGAAGGAAGGGGGCGGAGAAAUCCUUUUUCCUCUUCUGCUUUCAAGUUUUUUUUUUUUUUGUUGUUUUUUUUUUUAAGCAGGGGGUGGGUAGGAAGGGGUUAACUAUUUCUCCCUCCGCCUCUUUGGCUCUAGCUGCACCCCCUCGAAUGCCACUGCUUUCCUCUAGAGGUCUCAUUAGGGAAACCCUCACCGCUAUUUUCAACAUUUCCUCAAUCAAGUGCCUUUAAAUAUAGCUGCACAAACAAAUUGGCGGCAAAAAGCGUAGAUCUUGUCACGAUUGAGACCAAUCCAAUAUUUCAGCCUUGUUUGCUUUGUAAUUACUGGUUGGUUUGUGGCUCCGGUGCCACUGGGGCAAAUCGGCCGAGGGCCCAGUAGCAGCGGGAAGAGCUUCGGUUGCCCCAGAGAGGACUGACUGAUUGCCCUGGUGCCCACCCCCUUAGACUUCGGGCGGAUGCAAGAGGGGGUGAUGAUCUCCCUGAGAGCGAGGGGGGUUGUGUAUGGUAGGGACACUCGUCCUCAUUUGUGAAGAAAUCCACUGGACUUUAACCUCCCCCCCCCCCCCCCCAAGCCCAACCUUUCCUCCCUCUCCCCAAGAAAACCUUUUUUCCUAGCCAUUCUAAUAUUCUAAUACAUUCGUAUUGGUCUUGUUUCCCCCCUUUGGAUUUUGGCAGUGGGGGUUCUUUCUUCCUUCUCCCUCCCCAGUCUAAUCUUUACAGGAUUCUGCCCCCCCCAACUGUUGGUAUGAUUUGUUUUAUUUUCCACAGCUGCUUAUUCUUGUUUGACUUUUUGUCCAAAGCCACUUUAAAUCUGCUGCAGGAAGAAUAAAACUCGCAGCUCUUUGGAUGGGUUUCUGCAUGCAUGUGGCUGCCCCUGGCCCACUUUAAUUCCUGCCUAAUAGCUCUUCUGUAUAAAUCAGACCUGGGAUAUGUUUGGUCACUGUGCAAGCAGCCGCUAGUUUGUAUCAGCAAAACAGUAGUUAACUCAAAUCAUGUCCUAAGCCUUAUAUUUCACAGACAAUUAAACCUUGGCUGCUAUUUAACAAAGCUGUAAUAUUUAUUCUGUUCUAUUCUGAAGACCAUUUUUAAAGUCCAAAGCAAAUACUACAUUUCAAGAAGAAAAUAUAGUAAUAAAUCUCUUUUUAUGGAUUCUCUCUCCAUAAGAGGAAAACAAAAUGAUUUAACUCCGCCCACUCCAGCUGAAGUUAUAAAGAUAAUUAUCAAUGAACACACUUUAUAUUCAAAUGGAAUUAAUAUUGAAUAGGACCUGUAUGCAUGUUAUAUUUUAUUUCUUUGCAAGUGCUCUUAUCAUUUCUGAGUCUCAUGUAGAUAGAUAUUCUAAAGUUUAUCAUGUCUGAGCUAUGAGUUUUUUUACAUAGGGUACAGGGAUAGAGGGGGAUGAACAUUGUUAUAGGGAUGAUUAUUUCAGGAUCACUUUCUAAUAGACAUACUUAUUUCAAAGGUAGGUAUUUUUUAAAAUAGGAAUCUUUAGAGUAUUUCCUUAUUUUUUUAUUUUUAAUUUUUUGCCAUUUAACUUAAGAAUCAGAAAAGUGUGGAUGAAACAUAGUAAAACCACAGAAGAAGAAAAUGGAACCAUUAAUGAGAAGAAAUCCUAUUAUUUUAGUCAAUAGUAAAUUAUUUUAUUUCAUGGUUUUAUUCCCCCCCCAAAAAAAAGUUUUAGAAAUUCUAGCUAGUUACUUCUCAAUAAUUUUGCAUUCUUCCUGUCUUAUUUGGAUUGUUGUUUAAACAGUUUGAAUUUGAUGCACAUUUCAUAAAUUGUAGUUGUCAAAACUUCAAGGGAAUAAAUUAUAAUUAUUAGUAGAAUACAGAGAUAAGCCUGGCUGGCUGACCUCUCAUAUUUUCUAUGCCAUCUUCUUAUAGGUUGGUGGCACUAGUAUUUAGGGAAAGGGGAAGCAACAACUUCAAGAGAUGAUUUUUUUUUCACGAGAAUUUUCUUUACUCAAGAGUUGUUCUGGAAUAUUAUUAAAAAUUAAAAAAAAUUUGAGUGUAAUUUUCAUUGUGCUAAUCUGUUUAGUAUUAUAUUCUGAAUUUCUUAACUAUUAAAAUGCUUUGCCAUAUUACUUUCAAAUGAAGGAUCUUAGAUAAUUAUGAAAAUUUUGAUGUUAAUGCUUUGUUAAGUGAAAAACGGGAAAUGAUGUAUUGGAAUCUUUAAAAUAUCUUUAUGCUUUUAUACACUAGGAAAAACACACACACAUGAUUAUGGUUGGGGAUGUGUAUGCCAUUCCUCUGAAGUUGCUCUACAAGAAUAUAAAUAUAUUUACUCUUUAAAAAAAGGGGGGCAGUUUUCAAUUAUUUUUUAACAGAAAACUUUCAAUACAACACUGUGUUUAGUAAUGCCAUAAACCACAGCCACUUUCUACUGACAGCUACAAGAUUUUUCUUCAUUACUCUUCAUUACUCCGUUUGCAAACGAAGAUAGAGUGCCAUUCUAAAACAUCAAAAUAGGCAGAGUAACCAUUAUAUUUUACAUAUUCAUUUAUAUAGGUUAAUGCUCUUACAAUGAAAAACAUAUGCUGAGCAUGUAAAUGCUCCUUUUAGAAAUGCUUUUUUCGAUGCACAAUUAUUAUUAUUUUAAAAAUCAACUCUCAGUUUUCAUGCCACAAUUUUUUACUUUAAACAAGCAUUGCAUUGUUUUAAACAGUAGCUACUGGAACAAUACUGCCCUUAGUGUUUUAGCUUUUCCAACAACAAUUGGAAUUGGAUAAAUGCUUUCAGCUGGGAGCACUUUCCUAAUACCUUUGUAGGUAAUAGGUUUCCCAGUUUGUGCUGGGUGACAAAAACACAGUGCACCAGAUAGGCCUCCCUGUCCUCUGCAAAGACUGUCAGGAAGUUGAUCAUGGCAUAAAAUGGAGCCUUUCUAUGAGAGUAGGGUAUUUCUUUGUGACCCUGUUUCUUAUUUUGUUUAAAAAAAUGAAUUAACAGAAACAAAACUAAUGUUUCUUGAGGUAUAGCUACCAAGUGAUGACUUAAAAAGGGAUGGAAAAAAGAAAAUGGGGUGGGGUGGAGAUAUAUGGCGAAACAUAAGAGGAAACCGAGGAAAUUUGGUUCAUCAGUGUCUAGACAUGGAAAAACAGGAGAAUGACAGCUUGGUUCUAAUCAUCUGAUCUGAUAAAUGACUUAUUUUUUUUCUUGCCAAUAACUCAGUUAUUUCUAUUAAUUUCACUAUACAUAAAAAGUAUAAUCAGAGGGGGUAAAGACUAAUUCAAAGAUAGCUGUAAUCUUGAAAGACUUCUAAAAGCAGGAAAAAACCCAAGUAUGUGAUCUCAACAUUAUAUUUUUAGAAGGAUAAUGUAUGUUUUAUUAAACAAAUUUCCUUUAUAAUGUCAUUUAUAGAGUCGAACAAGAUAUAUCAAAAAGUAUUGUGCUUUUCCAAACUGUGAUUAAACUUGAAUAAUCAAAUAUUUCCAUAAAGACCAGCUAGCUGAAAAAAAAGUGAGAAAACUUCUUUUAGCAAGAAAUUCAGCUACUGUUAUUAAGACAAAUUAGGCAAAGCAGAAAAUUGCCUUCAAGUAUAUCUAAUAACUUCUUUUUAACUCCAUUGUUUUUUUCUUUUUCUUUAUAUAUCUAAUACUUAAUAGUGUAAUGCCUGCCAUAUAGUGAGCAUUUAACAAAUGUUUAUUGAUUGAUGUGCUACCGUUGUAUGCUAUAUGUGUAUUAUGCUUUUAAUGUAAUUUCCAUUUUAUUUUUCUUCAACUAAUAAUCAUUUAUUUUCUCUCCUACACAUUUGUCAAAUCAAACAACUUCCCACAAUGACCAUGUUCAGAAAUGUAUGCUUCAUCUUGUAUCUUGAGUCUAUUAUCUUUUGUCAGGAGAUGGGUUCUGAUUUUAAAAUAAAGAUUAUUCCAGUUUUCAAGUUUAAUCAACUUUGUUUUUCUAUGUAUAUGGAAAUAUUUAUAAGUACAGAAUAAAAAAAGAAAGAAAAUAAAAAAGAGCAAAGAUUAUUUUGAUAGCUUUCAAAUGAUUUUUUUCUAAUAAGAAGCUUAUCAGGUACAUAUUUCUCUUUGAUGACAAGAAUCACAUAUUGUGUUUAUCAGUUGAUAUGAUUAGCUAUUUUAUUGUAGCUUCUCAGUUGUAGCUCAGAGAAAAGGCAGUGUGUAUAAUGGAAAGAACCUAAUGUUUGGAUUCAGAGUACAUGGCUUUAGCUACCUGUAUUACCUUGGGCAAGUCAACCUGACUAACCCUGCUUGAAUUUUCUCAUCUGUAAAAGAGGGUACUGGAAUUCAUGUUCUUCUGAUUAUAAAUUCUGUAUUACACACACACACACAUAUACAUAAAUAUACACAUACACAUAUAUUUCAGAAACACCAAAAUAAAAUUGGCAGAACCAGGAAAACAAUAAACAAAAUGAGUAUAAUAAUACAAAUGGAAAUAACUCAAAAGUAUUGGGUUUUGUGUAUUUCUGAUGGCCAAACUUGCCUCUGGAGAAGAACUGGGAAAAUAUAUCUCCUUCCCUUUAUCAUAGAAGUGGUGGUGGUUGGGACUAUAAAUAUGGAACAUUACAUACAUUGUCAGAUGAUGUCUGUGUUUUGGGUGAUUUUCUUGAGCUGUUUUCUAAUUUUUUAAACGACAGACGAUCAUCUAGGAAAGAAAGGGGAGGAGGAGUGCAUUCAGAAACAGAUAUAUAAAAAAGGGCUUUAAUAAAAGUUCAUCUUAAAAAUAAUAAAGGAAGAACUCAGUUAUUGUGUAUAUAGAGGAAAGGGAGGAAAUAAAAUUUAUCAGUAGGAAGGCAGGAAUGAUGACAAACUUGCUUUUAAUUUUGAAUUCAUGAUUAUUUGGAUUGUAAUUUGUAUUUUUUUUUGAAAGAGAGAUCAAGUUUGGACCUGUGUUUUCAUCACUGUAUAAAACUUCUUCUAUGAAAGUAGAUUCAUUACAGCCUAAUUUAUAGCCAAGAGAGUUGUUGGGAAUGGGAUAAGGUUGGGAACUGAGAGGGUAAGUGAUUUGCCCAUGAUCACACAGUAAUAUUACACCAGGGGCAAGGCUUGGAUCUUCAUCUUCCUUACUUGAACAACAACUUUCUCCAGUACUACAUACAACCUCUUCAUGGUAUUGAAAUGUAUAAUUACUUGUUCUUGACAAACUUUGUAAUUAGUAAUACCUUAUAAAGCAUAGAUUGAGAAAUUUAUAAGUGGUUUGACUAAGAAUUCAGUAGUUUUAAAUUUCUGUUUUAUGUAUACAUAUUUAUUAAUAAUCACAGUAAAAACUUUAUUCUCAAAAACAUUGUUUUUAUGUAUUUAUUUGACUUAAUUCUCUCUCACUAUCCCCAACCAACAUCAUUUUACACUUGCUAAUGUUUGCUUAAAAAAAUUAACAGCAAUAAACUUUUGCUACCCAAUGUGGAAGGCUAUUUCUAAAACACCAAACCUUUCC